rnacentral:rRNA from 1 species
CCUACGGGAGGCAGCAGUAAGGAAUAUUGGUCAAUGGACGCAAGUCUGAACCAGCCAUGCCGCGUGAAGGAUUAAGGUCCUCUGGAUUGUAAACUUCUUUUAUCUGGGACGAGAAAAGGCGAUUCUUCGUCACUUGACGGUACCAGAUGAAUAAGCACCGGCUAACUCCGUGCCAGCAGCCGCGGUAAUACGGAGGGCGCAAGCGUUAUCCGGAUUCACUGGGUUUAAAGGGUGCGUAGGCGGGCAGGUAAGUCAGUGGUGAAAUCCUAGAGCUUAACUCUAGAACUGCCAUUGAUACUAUCUGUCUUGAAUAUUGUGGAGGUAAGCGGAAUAUGUCAUGUAGCGGUGAAAUGCUUAGAUAUGACAUAGAACACCUAUUGCGAAGGCAGCUUACUACGCAUAUAUUGACGCUGAGGCACGAAAGCGUGGGGAUCAAACAGGAUUAGAUACCCUGGUAGUCCACGCCCUAAACGAUGAUUACUCGACAUUUGUGAUACACUAUAAGUGUNUGAGAGAAGANAUAAGUAAUACCACCGAGGAGUACGACCGACGAAGGUUAGUAAACGUUAAAAGGUAAAGUUAGUACGGACGUAGAGACGUUAGCCGACGGACGACGACGAGGGGAGGAGGG